AUCCUACUCCCUCCAUUCCAAAUUACUCGUUGCUGAAAUGGAUGUAUCUAAAACUAAAAUACAUCUAGAUACAUCCAUUCGUGCGACAAGUAAUUCGGAACGGAGGGAGUACCAA
rfam:Triticum aestivum genome assembly, contig: Triticum_aestivum_CS42_TGACv1_scaffold_049372_1BS